GACGAACGCUGGCGGCGUGCUUAACACAUGCAAGUCGAACGGAAAGGCCCUGCUUUUGUGGGGUGCUCGAGUGGCGAACGGGUGAGUAACACGUGAGUAACCUGCCCUUGACUUUGGGAUAACUUCAGGAAACUGGGGCUAAUACCGGAUAGGAGCUCCUGCCGCAUGGUGGGGGUUGGAAAGUUUCGGCGGUUGGGGAUGGACUCGCGGCUUAUCAGCUUGUUGGUGGGGUAGUGGCUUACCAAGGCUUUGACGGGUAGCCGGCCUGAGAGGGUGACCGGCCACAUUGGGACUGAGAUACGGCCCAGACUCCUACGGGAGGCAGCAGUGGGGAAUAUUGCACAAUGGGCGGAAGCCUGAUGCAGCAACGCCGCGUGCGGGAUGACGGCCUUCGGGUUGUAAACCGCUUUCGCCUGUGACGAAGCGUGAGUGACGGUAAUAGGUAAAGAAGCACCGGCUAACUACGUG
rnacentral:rRNA from 1 species